rnacentral:lncRNA from 1 species
UGGGGAGGGUGGAUCGGGGGAGGGGGAAGCGCGGGGAGCUGGCCACCGCUCCGCACUCGGGCUGGGGAGAAGACGCCCCCCACCCCUUCUAGGUCGGCCUCUCCAUUCAAGUUCCCCAGCCGCCGGGAUCCGGGGAUGGCACCAGCCGCCCUCCCGGCUCUGCGCCCUUUUUCCAGCCACCGCGCAGAAAUUUAGGUCAAGGACGUCGGGAUCAAACCCAGACCCUGGCGCUCCUCGGGCGGCCCCCGAGACCCCUCUAGGUCGGGGGCCUUCAGGAUUGCGGAGACCCUCCCGCACCAACGCCAGCCACAAGUUUUAUUUUCCUCUCGCGCUGGAAGUUCUCUCUGGCUCUCGCUCCAAACCGGCACGUCUUGCGCCGCUCCCCGCCCUUCCCUGGCAGAGGUACGAAAUCCGUGCCCGGGAAAGGUUAUUUUGGAACUUUGAGGAAACUGACGCGAUUCCAGUGGUCGCAGAGCUGAUUAAGAAGAAAGCUGACUCCUGCCUCCCAGUCUUGGGUCCAUUUCAUCCAUUUCCAAACAUAAAGCCUCCAGCUGCAUCGGGAAGAUCUUGGCCAGUUUAAAAAGGCAGAGUUUGGAUUUGUGUGCAGCGAUUUCAGGAAUGUGGGGUUUUCUGGCUUGUGUGUGUGGAUGGCACCGCAGAGGGGAAAUAAAACAGUCUUGCUGCCUUGCAUGUAGGGUCUUACUAGUAGUUAGGUGACUUUGAGCUGACAAGCCCCCCCCACCCCCCCAUCUCAAGGGCAUCAUCCAUACAUGAAGAAUCACGAUGCUUUUAAAAUAGCUCCACAAAUUCUUUGGUGCUCUUGCAAGAGGUGGAGCCUAAUUUUAGCCCCGGCGCCCUGAGCAUGGACUGCACUGAGUCACUGGCUUCGAAUGAACAGAACGUGGAAGAGAUGAUGGCAGGCGAAUUCUGAGGCUAGGGCAGAAAAAGCACGUGGCCUCUGCCUUGCUCUCUCUCCAGGGUCACUCUAGAGGAAGCCAGUUUCCAUACCAUCAGGAUGCUCCAGUAGCCUGAUAGGUCCACCCACGUGGAGGAGAACUCUAAUUUCCUGUCGACAACCCAAACCACGAUUGUGAGACGUCUUAAAGGCACAUCCACCAGCCCCAGCCGAGCCUUCGGAUGACAGCUACCCCAGCCCACGUCUCCAGAGCAACUCCACGGGAGACCUUGGGUCGGAACCUCCCAGCCAAGCCACUCCCAAUUCCCCGACCCUCAGAACCUGUGUGAGACGAUACAUACUCACUUGAAGCUACUGAGCUUCAGGGGUAAUUGGUGGCACAGCCGAGAUGACUAAUAUGGAGAUACUUCAAAAUGUGUGAAAACAGAGCUGCUUUACUUUAUAGGCGAGCAGCAGGACUUCCUAUGCUCAUGUUUUGAGAGGGCUUUCGUUAGACGCUGGCCAAAUGAACUGCAUAUUAGAUAUAAAGUAGCGAUUGCAUAUUAUUAAUGGUAUCAGAUAGCAACACAUUUCAUGUUCAAUUACCUACAAUGCUCUUGCUGGAGCAUCGCUUUGCUCAUCUUCUUAUCCCCACUGCACACUUACAAAAGGUCACUGUCGAGAUAUAAAAGUAUACGUGUGAUUUAAAUAUCUUGACUCAGUUACUAACAACCAUGAGCGUGUUUCCACAUUGGAAGAGCAAGAUCCAUUUAAACUUGCUCUUUUUCUCGGAGCGCUCUCUGUUUACUUUUCGGUAUUGGGUUUCACCAGCAGGCCAAGCACCUCUCUGCUUAAAGAGUCUGUUCACUUUGUCUCCUGGAGCCUCACAAGCCUGACUCUUCAGGACAGACAUGGCCAACUUUGCACUGAAAAAGCAAACCAGUGUUUUUUACCAGAAAAUAUGAAGUGAAAUGAAUUUUUUAUUCAUGAAAAUUCCACCGAGUAUAAAUUCCCUGUCUAAAAGGAAUGGGGCCUUUGUAUUUCCCUUAAGUAAAUAAAUAGCUUCUUUCC